UAGGGAAUCUUCCACAAUGGGCGAAAGCCUGAUGGAGCAACGCCGCGUGUGUGAUGAAGGCUUUCGGGUCGUAAAGCACUGUUGUAUGGGAAGAACAGCUAGAAUAGGAAAUGAUUUUAGUUUGACGGUACCAUACCAGAAAGGGACGGCUAAAUACGUGCCA
rnacentral:rRNA from 1 species